rnacentral:lncRNA from 1 species
CAGACAGGCAAAAUGUUUAUCAGAACAAUCAAGAAAGACUUUAGUAACAGCUUAAAUUCAAUGUCAUUUUGACUAUGCCUGUUCUGCAUGGUAUGCUGGUGUCAGCAAAAAAUAUAAAGAUAACUUACAAGUAUUACAAAACAAAUGUGUUAGAUUUUUUUUCACACUAAAUAAUGAAUAUAACUUCUUGGUUCCUCCAGAGUCAACAAAAAGACACAUUUUAUUUAAAUGGCAUACAAGAUUGGAAUAUGUUGCCAAUCAAUGUUAAAAAAAUAAAAAAAAAAAUAAAGGAAUUCUAAAUUAGCGUCAAAGAGUACUUGACCAAAAGUUAUAGUGCGGCUUCAUCAGACUCCUUUUAUAUUAUUAAUCAUAUUUUUAAAUAAAUUAUUUUUAUAUGAAUUUUUACGUCAUAUUAAUUUUUGUGUUAUCUUUUUUUGUAUGGACAAACUAUAAGCCGUUUACAUGAGGGGACCCUAUUGGAAACAAUAUUUAGAGCUUUCAUGGGUUAUCCCUGAUAAGAGAUCAGCAUUUUUUUUUAUACACUUAAGGAUACUGCACUCAUAAUAAUGCCAAUAUAUUUUUACCAUAUAUGUGUUAGUAAUGUCUUUAUGCACC